UUUUUUAUAAAAUAAAUAUUAUUUUAUUUGUUAUUAUUUAAUAAUGUAUGUGGAACAACUGGAAAUGGAUUGAAAAAAUACUAAAAAUUAGAAAGUUUUGACGAUAUAUAUAGUUAAAAUACCUUGAAGAAAUUUUGUUAUUAACCGUUCGAAUAAAAUUAAUGUCUACAUUGUAUCAUAUUGAAGUAUUACUUUUUAUGGCUAAAGAGGAGGCAUUUGAUAAAAAUCGAGAAGAAUCUAGUCGAGACAGAAGAAAAACAUUGUGGUGAAGAUCUAAUUGAGACAAAAAAAGGGUGUGAUAGUAAUAUUCAGAUUUUAUUAAUAAUGAACAAUAUAAAGCUGUAUUUCUAAUUUUAUCAAAAAUAGGUAUAUGGUCAAAAUAUGAAAAAAAUUAGAUUUAGAUAAUUUUCAAAAUGAAGUAAAAAUUUUAUCAAAAAUAGAUAUAUUAAGGUAAAAGAAGAUAAUUGUUAAUUUGUUCAUGGAAGAAUAGCUGAAGGGCAUAUCUGUUACUUGUCUAAUUUGAUCAAUUCAUUUUAAUUGCGAUGCCGAUGAAUUUAUUGAAUAUUAUCAGUUAUAACAUGGAAGGAAUUAUAUAUAAUAUUAGUAAAUCUUCUUUCUAUAUUUGUUUAAAAUAUUUAAAGAUAUGUUUUAAACAGAUGACAUUGGAUGUUUGAUAAUAAAUACAGAAAACUAUAAAAAUAUUUUAAUUUUAUAAAUACGGAAUAAAUGGAAAUGGAUUGACAUAAUUCAAAGGAUUAAAAAUCAAGAAAGUUUUGCUGAUAAUAGUUAAGUUUUGUUAAUAAUAAACGAUAUGUAGAUGUUCAGCUGAUAUAGAAUUACAAAAUUUAUAGUUCUAUUAUAGAUAUAUUUAGUUAAAAUAUCACAAAAAAGUGUUGUCAUUAACUGUUUAAAUAUAUAUGAUGUAUGGUAUUGAGAUGUUACUUUGUAUUAAUAAAGAAGAGGAACUUAAUAAAAAAGAGAAAAAAAUCAAUGAAGAUUUAGUCGAAGUAGAAGAAAAAUAUUGUAAUGAAGAUUUAAUCGAGACAAAAAUAAAGUUGAUAGUUUGUGAUGUCACAUUUUAUUAAUAGUUUUAUUAAAGUAAUAUUCACUCAAAACAUUACAAAAUAAUGUAGGUACAGUAGUUUCUAAAAUGAAGCAAAAAUAUUAUGGAAAUUAAAUAUAUUAUGGUAAAAGAAGAUAAUUAUUAAUUUAUGCAUGGAUGGAAAGCUGAAAGGUGGAUUAGUUGUUUAUUUAACGUGAUCGAUUAAUUUAAAUAUAGAAGGGGAUGAAUUUUUACGGAUAUAGAUAUAAUCAGUUAUAAUAUGGAAGAAGAAUUAUGUAUGUUAUUAGCAAAUUUUCAAUCAAUUUGUUUACUUUUAAAUAAAUUAAUGAUAUUGGAUGCUUGAUAUAGAGGAAACUGUAAAUACAUUGUAAUUUUUUAAAAUAUGACAAUACAAGAACAUUUAUAUCGGAAGAGAAAUUGGAAAUUACUUUUAUUAAAAAAUAUGGAAAAUGGAUGUUUUAUAAUGAAUUUUGGAUUAAAAGAAGAAAUUAAUGUUAUUUAAUAGAAAAAAUAUGUAAAUAUUUACCGUGUUUAUUGAAUACAUUUUAGUGAUAAAUUUAGGGAAGUAGUAAUAAGGGGAGGAAAAUAUUGAGUAGAAAUUAAGUCAUAUUUUAAUAUUAUAUGGAUACAUAAUGAUUGUAGUAUACUAUAAUAGUUGAAAAAAAAAUGACUCAACAUUAAAAUGACUUUUAAAGGAAAAAAAGGAUAGCAAUUACUAUAAUUAUAUGUAGAUCAAGGAGAUAUAGAAGAAUCAAGAAGAUAUAGAAAUUUUAAAAUAACAAGAGAAUCAAAUAUAUAGUAAUAGAGAGAUGAGGAAAUAUUAUAUUUAUAAAUGUAUUAGAAUGGAUCAUAAUAUAGUAAUUGGAUUAUAAUAAAUAUGAAAUGAUAAAGUGAUACU